AACGAACGCUGGCGGCAGGCCUAACACAUGCAAGUCGAGCGACAAGGAACUUCGGUUCUGGAGGAGCGGCGCACGGGUGAGUAACAUGUGGGAACGUACCUUAAGGUUCGGGACAACCAUUGGAAACGAUGGCUAAUACCGGAUGUGCCCUGCGGGGGAAAGAUUUAUCGCCUUAAGAUCGGCCCGCAUUAGAUUAGGUAGUUGGUGAGGUAACGGCUCACCAAGCCUACGAUCUAUAGCUGGUCUGAGAGGAUGAUCAGCCACACUGGGACUGAGACACGGCCCAG
rnacentral:rRNA from 1 species